rnacentral:lncRNA from 1 species
AUUUGGGUCCUUCUUCUAGUCUUAGCUAGCAAUCCCGGUGUUACGUCAACAAAAUCAAUCCGUCAAACGCCAUUUUCGGGAUUAAGGGGCUUAAUUGACCGGGAUCAGUAAGGUCAGGGUCGUAAUUCAAGGAUUAAAAUGUUAAGGACUUUAGAGAUAGGGCCUUUUUAGAGUAAAUUACAGAAAACCACCGCAUUGGUGGUUAGGAUUUCACAUAGGUAUCAGUUCACAUUUUAGUGACUAAAAACCACC